AUGGAGCGGAAUGCGCGGGAAGUGCGGGAGGAGUGGGAGGCGGAGGAGCGGAGGGCGGCUCGAGAGGCGAAGCAGAAGUCGGCGGAGGCGCGAGUUGUCGCGGCCGCCAAGGCCCAGGCAGAGGCCACAAACGCGGAGAGGGAGGCGGAGGCCCAGCAGAACCAGCCUCCGCAGUUCGUCAUUCCCCUCCGCGCCGCAGCUCCCGACACCCCUGCGCCCCCGUUAGAGGAGGCCGGCCGCGACCAGCUGGAGAUGGAGAGGGAGGUGGCGCCAUCGCCGCCGACUGGAGCGGGCCGAGGAAGACGGCCUGAAGUGCCGCCCGUGCAGCCGGCUGGAGGCGAGCUGGUCGUGAGAGGGGAUCUUGUGAUCUUGUCGCCACUUCGCCGGCGCAUGGGGAAGGCGACUUCAGCGCCGGACGCGUAG
rnacentral:rRNA from 1 species